AAACAUUGCCAGAAUUUCCACACUGAGUAUGGCUAAAAUUAGCUAAUAGGCUAAAAGGUACUUUGAACUUACACAUGUUAUACCAUAGUAUAAAGUAUGUUUAAUGGUACAGUCAAAGUUAUUACUUUAGCUUAUUUAUGUAGCCUUUGAGAAUUUCUUUCAGAAAUUAAAACAUCUGAAAGAGAAAAGUUAUUUGGCAUGAUGGAAUGAUUUGAUUGCCUACACAUUGCACAUGUAAAAUGUUAAAUACUGUUCUGUAUUAAAAGCUCAGCAUAAGUGUUUGAUUAACUUCCUUUGCUUUUGUUUUGUACAAAGGAAGAGCAGAACCUAAUCCAAAUAAAAAUAAACAAGCUGUUAAAAGCCAGUUGAAGGUGGUCAACACAAACCAAAUGAAGAUGUUGCACAUUCCACAAACAAUAAAAAAAGAAGAUCAAGUUUUGUGUCCAACACACUUGGAUGAGACGUGCCCGACCCCUGACUUUGUCUACCCUACAUUAAGUUGUGAUGGCACACUUCAUGACAGUAAACAUCGGUAUCAAGAUGGUGUGAUUUAUAUAUUCCCUAGAAUAAGCUGUGACACUAUGAGACGUACGUGCUACUGAUGCUUUUUGUUAUUUUUUUGGUGCAUUCCCACACUAUACAAACACGUUGCUUGGCUCCAAAGUGCAUACACUUUUGACUUUAUAAUGUCAUUCUCAUUUAUAGGGUGACAUAAUGAACAGCCAUCUUCCAGACAACCGAAACAGGCAGAGUAUUGUUUUCUUGUGUAUUGUCAUACACCUAAAGAGGAUUUUUUUAUUGUCUACAAUCCCAAAUUCUGGAUUGUCGCCCCAGUACCAGAAGGCACUCCAAUCCCAGAGAGCAUCCCAUUGUGAGGUAACACAACGAAAAAAUAACAGGAUGGAGACUACCUGAUUCUUCACCUAUGGCCUUAGCUUCAAAUGCAAGAAGUCCAGCAACUGUCUGAGCUGGUGGAUAUUCUAUCAGAGACUGCAUGAACAAUGUUAUGAACAGAAUGAUGUCUAAUUGUCUUAUGGCAAAGUUCAAUAUGAGUGGUGGUGGACAUCUGGAAAAGAAGUCUUUUGAAGGCACACCUUUGUAUUAUGUUAUUCAAGAUGCUGUGAGGACGUGGAGCCUAAAAGCCACGGACUCGGAAAUCGAUGCAGCUAUGGCAGACCACCUCAAGCACGCUCCAGGAAGAGAGCUAGGGGUUGUAAAUACAAAAAAUAAGCCAAACAGAUGUAAUGUGUUAGAGAUAGUUCACACAAAAAUGAAAAUUGUUAUAAUUUUCUUACCCACGUGUUUCAAACCUGUAUACAUUUUUAUUUUCUGCUGAACACAAAGAUUGAAUAAUGUUUGUAACCAAGCAUUUCUCACAACCCAUUAACUGUCAUAAUAAUUUUUUUUACAAUUGUAGUAAUGGGUUGUGAGAUCUGCUUUUUUAAAAACAUUCUUUCAAAUAUCUUUGUGUUCCGCAGAACAUAGAAAGGUAUACAGGCUUGAAACAUGAGAGGGAGUAAAUGACUAAAUAUUCAUUUUUGGGUGAACUAUCCCUUUAUAUAAUAAAGUAUUUUGAAAUUGUUAUUAUAGUUAAAAAAAUAAAAGUCCUAAAUCAGAA